rnacentral:rRNA from 1 species
ACUGGAAUUUGUUUUGUAUCGUAAGAACGUUACCCUCGCCGAACUCGAAGCCAUGGGGCAGAUGGGUAGUUUGACUGGGGCGGUCUCCUCCUAAAGAGUAACGGAGGAGCACGAAGGUUGGCUAAUCCUGGUCGGACAUCAGGAGGUUAGUGCAAUGGCAUAAGCCAGCUUGACUGCGAGCGUGACGGC